rnacentral:rRNA from 1 species
UACGUAGGGUGCGAGCGUUGUCCGGAAUUACUGGGCGUAAAGAGCUCGUAGGUGGUUUGUCGCGUUGUUCGUGAAAUCUCACGGCUUAACUGUGAGCGUGCGGGCGAUACGGGCAGACUAGAGUACUGCAGGGGAGACUGGAAUUCCUGGUGUAGCGGUGGAAUGCGCAGAUAUCAGGAGGAACACCGGUGGCGAAGGCGGGUCUCUAGGCAGUAACUGACGCUGAGGAGCGAAAGCGUGGGGAGCGAACAGG